rnacentral:lncRNA from 1 species
CAGAAGGGGACCCUUGAGUGGUUCUCACCCCGUGAGGUGAGGGGCCAGAGGGGCCGCGGGGGACCCUGGGAGAGAAGAGGAUCUGGAAGAAGAGGGGCUCUGGCCCCGGCCCUGCUUUGAUGUGAGCAGUUCUUGCUCCCUGGGUUUCCAGGAAACGGUCGGUUUCAAGUGAGGUUUGAAGAGUCCAAAGCUCCAAUGAAAACAACCAAACAAACCUCUCGAAGGGCCUCUGGACACACUUGGUGAUUGCUAAGGGCACAGAGACAGGCCUCUGUCCUGCAGGAGCUGGGGCUACCGAAAUGCAAUCACUCAACACAGCUGAACUAUGACAGUGGGAAGUCGGAUUCGUUCCCUGCUCGGCAUUUAAUCUUAAUAACAUUUUAUCUUGGACGACAAG